rnacentral:rRNA from 1 species
AGGGUGAACGGCCACAUUGGGACUGAGACACGGCCCAAACUCCUACGGGAGGCAGCAGUGGGGAAUAUUGCACAAUGGGGGAAACCCUGAUGCAGCAACGCCGCGUGAGUGAAGAAGUAUUUCGGUAUGUAAAGCUCUAUCAGCAGGAAAGAAAAUGACGGUACCUGACUAAGAAGCCCCGGCUAACCACGUGCCAGCAGCCGCGGUAAUACGUAGGGGGCAAGCGUUAUCCGGAUUUACUGGGUGUAAAGGGAGCGUAGACGGUUUUGCAAGUCUGAAGUGAAAGCCCGGGGCUUAACCCCGGGACUGCUUUGGAAACUGUA